rnacentral:rRNA from 1 species
GACGAACGCUGGCGGCGUGCCUAACACAUGCAAGUCGAGCGGGGAUUUAAGUGGGAGUUCUUCGGAAUGGAGAUUUAAAUUCUAGCGGCGGACGGGGGAGUAACGCGUGAACAAACUGUCCCGGACAGGGGGAUAACACUUGGAAACAGGGGCUAAUACCGCAUAAGACCACGGCCUCGCAUGGGGGGGAGGUAAAAGGAGCAAUCCGGUUCGGGGGGAGUUCGCGUCCGAUUAGCUAGUUGGUGGGGUAACGGCCCACCAAGGCGGCGAUCGGUAGCCGGCCUGAGAGGGUGAACGGCCACAUUGGAACUGAGAGCCGGUCCAAACUCCUACGGGAGGCAGCAGUGGGGAAUAUUGGGCAAUGGGCGAAAGCCUGACCCAGCAACGCCGCGUGAGGGAAGAAGGUUUUCGGAUUGUAAACCUCUGUCCUAUGGGACGAAGGAAGUGACGGUACCAUAGGAGGAAGCCCCGGCUAACUACGUG